GCGCCCGCCGCCCCUCCCUCCAAAGGAACGGGACGCACCAUCCCGCCCGGGAGAGGAGGGGGGUCGAGGACGGACACUCCCCCCUCUCCCCCACCUCCCGUUUAGACCGUCUCACUUCUUCGAAGCCUUCCUUGAAGGACUGACCGGACCUGCCUGGGGCGAUGAGACACCUUCUGGGAAGGGGGGACGUCUUGGGGAGGAAUGUCCCCAAUCCUUUCUUUCUUCCCCCCGAGAGUCAUUGAUUGCCCUUGGUAAAAAGUGUGUCUUCGCUUCACCCGCCGCACAUUUUGCAAGCCCCCCCGUUUCUCUUGCCACGCCAGGACCAUCAACAAUCCUGGUCUUCUCCUCGGGCAAGCUGAAAGAGGCACGUACGGGGAACUACAAACAAGGAAGCAAGACAGGAGCGAGAACCGCUGAGAGGGGCUUUCUUCUUGCAGCCAUCAGCAGAACCUUCCUUGUCGUCUCGUCGUGACAUUUGCCUCCAAUAAUCACCCAAGAUCAGGAAGAAUCGCUUAAGAACGCAGCAGGUGACGAUUAAACACCAUCAGGGAUCCUUUUUUCUUUUCCUCUCCGUGGGAAUCGGUGCUAGGAGCCGGCAAGAGGGAACAAACUAUAAUAGCUAGGAAGGAAUUUUAGUGAUUUUGGUCCUGGCCGAAAAAAGUCAUGCUCUGGAAGGAAGAGGAAAGGAUACAGCCAACCUGAUGCAGUUAGAUGAGGCAACCAAGUACUGGACCGUUAAAUCAUUGUUUCUCUGCCAGCCUAAUUCCUGGGGAAAGAUUGCGGCUUGCCUAAUUGCAAAUUGUCUAUUCACUGGACAGAGAAAUUUGGACGGCGAGGGGAUAAUAGAGGUAGUGACAGUUCAAACUCCUUUCUUUGCGCAUUGCAACCUCAAAAAGACUUAACUUGUGAGCCAAGUUGGUGUCCCUUGCUGUUUCUGUUUUGUUUUGUGAGCAUUUUGUUCUCCACCAGUAAGUCUCCCUCAUAAUUUAUUCCCCACAAUCCAUUAAAGAUGUGGGAUGGCAUGAAGGCUCAAUCCCUGUCACAUUGUGGAAGCAACGCUGGCAUCAGUGAAAAGCUGCAUCUCAUGUUUCUAAUCCUCUUAGCCAAUCAGAUCUCUUUAACAAAUAAUGGGCUUGGCGAUGAAGGAAUGAUGGAAGUCUGUUUAUGAAUAAGUCCUGUGUGCUGUACAAAGAAACCAGCACAUACUAAUCGUCUGAUCCUGACUCUUAUCCCCUGAGGUCUUUUUGGCACCAACGGCAAGAAGUAAUGAAGAGUUUAGCACCUUAUAGAGAACACUUCUAAAAGUGUCGAUGUAAAGUAAUUGUAGGAGGAUUGACUUUAGAUACAAAUACUUUUGAGAAUGUUUUGCAAAAAAAUAUAUAUAAGCAUCAAGAAUAUCAUAGUGGUACUUUUGAACGCAUACUCUUAUCAUAGAAGGAGUAAAUUUCCAAUUAUGUGAACAGGCUUAGUUUAAUUAUCGUCAAUUAACCGUAUGUUGUUGAAUUCUGAAUUGCAUUUUAAGUGCCAUCACUGUUUUCAAUAAUAAUUGUUUCAGCACAAUGCAUACCUGUUUCACUGGAUCUGCUGAGACUUGAACAUCUUAGCGUACAUUAGAACCACUUGCCUUUUAGCUUUGCAGAGAAAAUCAGAAAGAUGCAAAAUAAGUGUGUUUUGUGAAACGUGUCUCUAGGACUGGGCCAUUUGUCUGUACAACAUUAUGUCACUUCCUUCCUUCGGUGAUCCUAUUAUCAGGUGUCUGUACAGCUUGGCAAGCUCAUUUUUCAAAGGAGCAAAUAGAAGACAAAAGAUAUUACUACUACCUCAUUUACUGGCAAACUCUAACCGUGUGGGUCCUGCUGACUUCAGUUGUUCUUCCUAAUAAGUGUUAUUGGAUUGGCAGCCUUGAAAGUCAGUGGCCCCUUCCGCACAUCAGAAUAAUGUACUUUUAAUCCACUUUCACAAUUGUUUGAAAGUGGAUUUUGCUAUUACGCACAGUAAAAUCCAGCUGCAAAGUGCAUUGAAAGUGGAUUGAAAGAGCAUCAUUCUACAUGUUCAGAAGGGGCCAGUGUUAGACAAAUUCAUGGAUGAUGUGCGUCUGUCAAAACCAGGCAAACUUGAUUGCUAGUGGCAAUAUCAUAGUGGUACUUUUGAACAUGUACUCUUAUCAGAAGUAUCUUGCCCUUCUACCAAUCUCUACAGGGUGCUGCUUCCAUGGGAGAAAGGACCUUGAGGAAUGGCAUGAAGGAUGUCUAUUGUGGUAAGUGGAAACAGGUAGAAACAGCCAAUUUUGUCUGGACCUAACCCAUAGGCUUUAUAUCUCUAAAUUUCAGUUCUAGGAGUCGGUUGCUGUCAUGCUCAUCAUGUGGCAUUUCAGGGCAGGCUUCAUAGCAGAACGUAUGUGCUUUUCAUAAGGCUCUAGGUUCAAUCUUUGACUUGGAGUCAGUGUAGUGUAGUAAUCUAGGAUCUGGAAGACCUAGAUUCAGAUCCUCACUCUGCCAUGAAAGCAUGCUGGAAGAUCUUCACCCAAACACAUAAUCUUGGUCUAACCUACCUCACAGGAUUGUUGUGAGAAUAAUUCGGAGCAGAAUUAUGUACGCUACUCUUGAGUUCCCACUGGGGAGAGAGGUGGAGUACAAAUAAAUAGAUUUCUCUACUUGACAUAUUUCAAGGGAAAGAUCAAGUCUUGCUGAGAUCUUGAAGAGCUGCUACCAGUCAGAGUAGAGAAUACUAAAUAAGGGAGAUCAAAUAGGCAUGUGUUAGAUCAGUUAGGCACUUGAUCUGUUACAGCAGGUUGCCUCUUACAUUCUUGAACGUAUAGUAUUACGAAACUCUAGUCAAUUCUGUUAAAAUUCUGACUUCUAAUAGAGCAAAAGAGCCAUCGCUCAACAAGAAGAAAACACCUUUUAACAGAAGCAGCUUGAUGUCAAACUGCACCAGUCUAUCCUGCCUGUCUGGAACAUACUGUGCUUGAAGGACAAAAGGUGGAAUGCAAAGACCCUGAAGAGUAACUCACAGCUAGGGAGAUUCCUCAUAAUUUUAAUUUGUAUCAAAAGCUACAGAUCAGAUCAUGAGAUGGCUGUAAACUGAGUUACUAUUAACUUUCUUUGUCUUACCUGUAUCCUAUUAUUACCCAGAUCCCAUUGACAGACAAAUAUGGAUUCUCAAUCAGGUUCAAAGAAAAUCUGCCUCAGAACUAUGAGCUAAAGCUACUUAACUGCCAUAGGUUUCUUGGAACAGUGUCGGUCAAAAGAUUUUUUUUUAAGUGUGAUCAUUUCUUAAGGGCAACUGAAACAAUAUAAAACUGUGUAAACAAUUUGUGCCGUUUUGAUUGCCCUUAAAAGAUUUCCCCCUUUCACAGUUUUUCCAUUUUUUUAUUUAACUGGAUUUAUUCUGUUUGAUCAACUGAUCCUUAUAAUCAUGAUAAUUACAAAGCAUGCAAAGUAUUUUAUGCUUCCAGAGAAAAGCAAAGGUCAUUGAUAAGACAAUCAGAAUAAUCCCAUCCUUACAGACUGACCCCAUGCAUGUUUACUUUGUAAGAGUUCAACUGUGAUCAAUGGAUCAUACUAGCUAUGCAUCCAGCUACAAUUUAGAGCCAGACCUUCUGUGUGCUUGAGAAUAAGCUGUUUUGAUCUCAGAGAAUGGGAGUAAAACAUUUGUUGUUUUUUUAAUUUAUUUAAAAUAUUGCGAUAUCACUUUUUUUAGCUUUCCCAACAACUUACACUGCAUAAUUUAAAAUUAUACCAUACAUUCAAAUGAUUAAUGAUUUAAAUUAGCAAAAACAGCAGAAGUUUUAAAACCACAAAUCUAGGGCAGCACUUUAAAUCUUUAAAACCAGCAUGAAAGACCAAACAUGAUUGGGAUCCUGCUGUUUGUGGAGCUACUGUUUAAUAAUCUAAUAUCAGGUUGGCCUCCUUUUAUGUUACUAAUCCAUAAGAUAGCAAAAAUGUGGAUUUUCCCCCCUUAAAAGUCUUUACAAAUACAUUUAAGUCAUCAGUGCUGCCUAAAAAUAAUGUGACGAGUAUGAUCCAUAAAUGGUUUGAGCUGCCUCUUUUGCUUUAUCAGCAGCCUGUCAUUGCAGUCUUCCAGUCCAGAAAUCAGUUAAACUCAAAGAGCUGAGAUCCAGCUGAUGGGCCGCUUGGUUCUGUGAUCCUGCUAAGGCAAACAGCUGUGAAGUGAAUCUCAAUGAAGUCAGUGAGAUUUUCAUCUGGAAGCAAAUGCUUGUGAUUGCGCUGGUAAUUACUGCAAUGUCCUGUGUGCCAGCUUUCAGAUAAAGCAGACCAGGGUGGUGUUUAGUGAUCAGAAUGCUCAGCUGGGCCUGGGUAGAGUGAAGCCCCUUCCGCACAAGCAGAACUUUCAGUGCACUUUGCAGAUGAAUUUUACUGUGCAGAAUAGCCAAAUCCACUUGCAAACAAUUGUGACAGUGGAUUGAAAGUUCAUUAUUCUGAAUGUAUGGAAGGGGCCUAGGAUUCAACUCAUCCUGUCCUGAAGCUCAUUGGAUCGUCCUGAGCUAGUCGCCAUCUCUCUGUAUAGCCUAUCUCAUGGGGUUGUUAUGAGGCUUAAAUGGGAAGGGGAGAACUUUAUUACAUAAAUUUCUUAUUGAAUUCAGACAUUGAUGAAAGUCUCUUACCAUGCUGAGUAGCAGGGACAAAUAUUGCCCUUCUUCUAUGUUUAUUUUAUUUAUUUGUUGCCCAAAGGGCUCAGUGCGGCUACAACAGCAGUACAACAAUUCCAUUAAAAUCACAAUAAAUAAAUAGAUUAAAAUAGUAACCAUUUAACAAUAUUAAAUAAAACAGUCCAACUCCAGAUAGUGACUUGUCUUCUAUGCCCCCCCCCCCCCAGGAGGUCAAAGAAGAUGUUACAUCAAUGAACCCGGCUGGCCAUCAGGAAAGGCCCGGCAGAACAGCUUUGUCUUACAGACCCUGCGGAAACUACUCAAGUCCCGCAGGGCCCUGAUCUCAGUCUGGAGCAUGUUCCACCAGGUAGGGGCCAGUACCUAAAAUUAUUGAAUAUCCAAAAAAAAGGACACUUCAGUCUCUCAUUUCACAGCCGGCUUCUGAAGCACUCAGAAGGAAGAUCUUCCUCUCAUUACCAUGGUAUUUGAACCUUUCCAUGAGGUGAGAGACUGACAUCACCCCUCCCACAAAGCAGUGUCUUAUUUUCUAGAGAACUUGGGAGCAGUGUUCAUCUCAACAUGAGAGGUCCCUAAUGUCUUUGAGGAGUAUUGAAGUCAGUGGCAACCCACAUAAUGACUGGGAAGCUAGAAACACAGGCUUUUAGAAUUAGUCUAUAUUGUAGACAAUGCCAUCCAUUCUACAACUACAAUUAAGCAAUCUCCAAUUGUCUAUCAUGUGGCAUUAAAUAAACUCCUGAGUUGUCAUUGGACAUCUUUCUACCUUGCCAGCUCUGGAAAUGCUGAACAUCAUCUAGAAAGAUCUUGGCAUUUCCUAGGCCAAAAUAUGUCACCUGUUGCUUCGGUAUGCUACAGUAGUUCCUUGCCAGUGAUUACAAGAAAAGAAAGUUGCCUUUAUUUUCAGUCCCAUCUGCGAUUUUUUCAAUAUCCCCCAGUUACAAGAGUUGUGUUUAGAUAGCCCUCUGCAUUUGUCAAUACUCUGGGUAUCACAGCCACAAUUAUGCAUUUCAUUAAAACAUUUUAUGUUGGUUCAUUUCCAUUUAAGCAAGUCAAUACCACAUCUUCUGGGAUCAACACAGCAGUAGUUGUUGUGUAAUAAUGUGUAUAAUUUUAAUUCCUUAUAUCCACGUCCACCCCCCCAAGCAUCUGGUGUUUAUUUUGUUUCCCUGUGAAUUCAAGUUAAAGCAUUGUCCUUAACUGAUUUUCUCACUUUGACGGCUUGAGAGUGAUGGCUAAAUAUUGCUUCAAAAUGACUUUGGUACUCACUUCAGUUUUGUAAUAUAAGUGACUUAUUAAAAAGAAAAAGGAAGAGCUUAUGACUUCCUUUUGCCUCUGGCAAACUC